rnacentral:rRNA from 1 species
CCUACGGGAGGCAGCAGUGGGGAAUAUUGCACAAUGGGGGAAACCCUGAUGCAGCAACGCCGCGUGAAGGAAGACGGUUUUCGGAUUGUAAACUUCUGUUCUUAGUGAAGAAUAAUGACGGUAGCUCAGGAGCAAGCCACGGCUCACUACGUGCCAGCAGCCGCGGUAAUACGUAGGUGGCAAGCGUUGUCCGGAAUUACUGGGUGUAAAGGGAGCGCAGGCGGGAAGCCAAGUCAGCCGUGAAAACUACGGGCUUAACUUGUAGACUGCAGUUGAAACUGGUUUUCUGGAGUGAAGUAGAGGUUGGCGGAAUGCCGAGUGUAGCGGUGAAAUGCGUAGAUAUUCGGAGGAACACCGGUGGCGAAGGCGGCCAACUGGGCUGUAACUGACGCUGAGGCUCGAAAGUGUGGGGAGCAAACAGGAUUAGAUACCCGGGUAGUC